GACGAACGCUGGCGGCGUGCCUAAUACAUGCAAGUCGAGCGAAGUUUUUCUGAUGCUUGCACCGGAAAAACUUAGCGGCGAACGGGUGAGUAACACGUAAAGAACCUGCCUCAUAGACUGGGACAACUAUUGGAAACGAUAGCUAAUACCGGAUAACAGCAUUAACUGCAUGGUUGACGUUUAAAAGUUGGUUUUGCUAACACUAUGAGAUGGCUUUGCGGUGCAUUAGCUAGUUGGUGGGGUAAAGGCCUACCAAGGCGACGAUGCAUAGCCGACCUGAGAGGGUGAUCGGCCACACUGGGACUGAGACACGGCCCAGACUCCUACGGGAGGCAGCAGUAGGGAAUCUUCCGCAAUGGGCGAAAGCCUGACGGAGCAACGCCGCGUGAGUGAAGAAGGAUUUCGGUUCGUAAAGCUCUGUUGUUAGGGAAGAAUGAUUGUGUAGUAACUAUACACAGUAGAGACGGUACCUAACCAGAAAGCCACGGCUAACUACGUG
rnacentral:rRNA from 1 species